UACGGAGGAUGCGAGCGUUAUCCGGAUUUAUUGGGUUUAAAGGGUGCGUAGGCGGAUCGUUAAGUCAGUGGUCAAAUUGAGGGGCUCAACCCCUUCCCGCCAUUGAAACUGGCGAUCUUGAGUGGAAGAGAAGUAUGCGGAAUGCGUGGUGUAGCGGUGAAAUGCAUAGAUAUCACGCAGAACCCCGAUUGCGAAGGCAGCAUGCCAGCUUCCGACUGACGCUGAAGCACGAAAGCGUGGGGAUCGAACAGG
rnacentral:rRNA from 1 species